rnacentral:rRNA from 1 species
UACGUAGGGGGGCAAGCGUUGUCCGGAUUUACUGGGCGUAAAGAGCGUGUAGGCGGCCACGCAGGUCCGUUGUGAAAACUGGAGGCUCAACCUUCAGACGUCGACGGAAACCGUGUGGCUAGAGUCCGGAAGAGGAGAGUGGAAUUCCUGGUGUAGCGGUGAAAUGCGCAGAUAUCAGGAAGAACACCAAUGGCGAAGGCAGCUUGCUGGCAUGUAUCUGACGCUAAGGCACGAAAGCGUGGGGAGCGAACAGG